AGUGGUUCUAGAAUCUGGCUAUACUUUUUAAUCAUAUGAAGAAUUCUCAAAGCUCCACAUAGUGACUGCUAAGAAAGAUGAUCUACAUUCCAAAGGACUGGAUACCAGAUGCCCUGCAAAAAAAGUCUAUGUUUGUUGGGCAUUGAGAACACAUGAGCUUCAGGGAUACAAUUGUGUCCAGAAUUGGUGGGUUCUUGGUCUCCCUGACUUCAAGAAUGAAGCCACAGACCCUCACGACAGGUGCAAGUCUGUUAUGUGAAGAGAAGGAUAUGUGUUCGAGAUGCUGACCUCAUGGGUAAAGGGGACCACUGGCAGCUGCUGGCUCCUGGAUGCUUCACCACUUGUCACCCAGUAGCCCCGUCUGUCAUCACUCGGAGAGAUUCCAUCGUCUGCUUUCUUCUCUAUGAAGUGAAUAGAAUUUUUGAAGGGGGAGCUGAUUCAGGUUAUGCUUUAGGUUCUCUUUAAAAUGGAAAUGCGUCUUUGGAAAUUUUCCACAUAAUCGUCAUCAGAAGCCUCCUUGGUUCCAGCUGCACUAAUUAGAGGUAUGCACAUGGAGGUUGCAAUGUAAGGAGAGGGGAAAGGAACAUUAAUGACCCAGACUGUGAUAUCACUUGUGAGAACUUCUUUCCACUGAUCUGACACCAAUUUAAGUUCAGCUUUCAAUUCUGUCUUUGAAGCCUGGAUCAAGCAGUGUCAUGGACCCAUGUCUUUUGUGUUACAUAGUCAUGUUUUCUCCUAAAUUGUUAUGGACUACCUGUGAAAGAAGGCAUCCGCCCUACAACUGUCAAUGAACCCUGUUUUAAACUAAUUUUUCAUCUGAUGUAAAAUCUACUGCAGAAACUUUUGUGCCUUUUUAGUAGCUUGGGACAGGACACAUCAUAAGGGGAAAAUACUGCCUUGGAACUAAUAAACAAUGACUAGAAAAUUCA
rnacentral:lncRNA from 1 species